rnacentral:rRNA from 1 species
GACGAACGCUGGCGGCGCGCCUAACACAUGCAAGUCGAACGAGCGAGAGAGAGCUUGCUUUCUCGAGCGAGUGGCGAACGGGUGAGUAACGCGUGAGGAACCUGCCUCAAAGAGGGGGACAACAGUUGGAAACGACUGCUAAUACCGCAUAAGCCCACAGGUCGGCAUCGACCAGAGGGAAAGGAGCAAUCCGCUUUGAGAUGGCCUCGCGUCCGAUUAGCUAGUUGGUGAGGUAACGGCCCACCAAGGCGACGAUCGGUAGCCGGACUGAGAGGUUGAACGGCCACAUUGGGACUGAGACACGGCCCAG